UUUCCUGAAAAUUACAUGAAAAUUGAUUAGAUGGGAGGGACAGCAUCUACCAUGUUACUGCACCUUUGAGGGAAGAGGAGGGAGUCUGAUUGUUUCGCUAACAUAGUAAGAUGAAAAUGUUUCUUUUUUUUUCAUCUUUCAGUAGUAAAUUCCAAGACCCUAAAAUAAAUGGAAAACAAGCCAAAGUCUUCCAAAUAAGACUCUCACUGCACAUUUUCCCAGGAGAACUGUACCAGCUUACUUGUGAGUCUGCUUCUGCAUACACUCGGACCACGUCUUCAGUACCAGAGGGCCGGACGAAAGCGCGGGACAGCUUGUACUUCUUCACCAGGUUCCUACUGAGCAGCUAGCCUCGGGAAGCACUCUGCGAACCAAGAAUAAAAAGGAAGUAUUUUCACUGAAAACGAUAGGCUGUCCAGGAUUUGCUCCAAAGUAGUGUGGGGUGUGGAGAGUGUUCAGGACAAUACAAACCUGCUGAAUCUGGGCACACAGGGGCUCAUUAUUUUUACUCCACUUGUAUGUUGUAAAUUUUUCGUAGUAAAAAUUUAAAAAUGACGUGUGUCAUUAAAAGUUUGGAAACCAAAUACUUCUCAAACAAGAGAAUAGUUAAGAGCGCCUCUGUAAUUUUUAAAGAUAGAAGAAAAUAUAAUUAGAUAAUAUAAGGCAUUAUUUUCUGUGUAAUAUGUACAUAUGGGACGAAAUAUGACACACUUGGGAAAUAUUUUUAUGAAGUGAGAUUUGAAAUAACAGCUUUAAACUUUCAGAAAAGUAGUUAAGAUCGUGGUCCCACCUG